AUUAUUAUAUUAAUAUUUGUAACUAAAAAAGUAGAGACAAAUCAUAGUGCUAGUCUUCCUUCACUUCACGUGUACUCAAUAAUUUCAUAAAUAAAGUGGAUGAACAUGAACCUGCACCAAACCGUGUGGACGAGAACAAAGGUGCCAAUAAUCUCAGCACCCAAAGUUGGUUGUCCAUGCUGUAGUCAAUAUAUAAACUAUUAAAUCUCCCACCAAAAAUAUAAUAUAUAAAGUAACUAAAAGCAAAUAACAAGCGAUUGAUAAGGAUAUGGUUGUCCAUGCUCCCAGUUGCUUUCUUAUCUCCACUAAUCUCUGAGUUCGAGUCCUCUUGCUGUUGGGGGGUUGAGGAAUAAUAUCUGAUGGUCUUUGAGGCUCUUGUCUUCUCUCUUCCUUUGAGAAGACAAGAGCUGAUAUUCAUGUAUGAGCCAUCAAGUUUCGCUAUCUAGAUCAACGACUCCUUUGAGAAGUCCAUGGCAACGCCAAUCUUCCUACCCUUUCCCAUUCUGAUCUCUCUCUCUCUCUCUCUCUCUCUCUCUCUCUCUUCUGCACCAGUUGGGUUAUUUUGAUCGGACAAGAAGGCACAGUUGUGGCGUGUGAAAGUUCAAAAGACAGAAAAGCAGAGAAAGAGGAUGGUUUUGACUGAAUGGGUUUUGUUUAUUUGGUUAAAAGCUUAAAACUUUUGGAUCUGUGACUUCCACGUGUGACUUUGUGAUUUGGCUUGGCUUGUAGUUUUGUACAUGGGUUUGCAUUCUUCUCUGCUAUGGUUACGGAAAAAGGAGCUGGGCCUUUAGUGAAUGGCUGUGGAAAAAUCUGACCAAGAAGAAGCACUUUGAUGGGAUUUAUGUAUUAUAAUAAAUAAAUAAAUAAACUUUUCAAAACAGCAAAAGUGAAUGCGGCUUGAAUUUCAAUUGGCUGGUCAAGAAGGAAAGACCAACCAAACCAAGCCCAGUGAAAAAUCAUUGCCUCCGUUGUAUUCCUUCAGCUCCAUAAUGAGAAAUUUCUUCAGAGACUGGCAAACCGAGCCCGACUUGUGAUCCAUACAAGCCAUGGGGUUCUGUAGCUUUCCAUUGUGGAUUCAUCCCCAAAAUUGUGCAUAAUCACUAUAUACGACUUCAAACAGCCAAGGUUUAGAAACAGAGAGAGAUGGGUUGGUGAGUAAAAAGUCAGAAAUUGGUUCUGAUGCCAGAAGAAAUAGGUACAGAUGAGAGUGAUAGAGAGCAAUCAUUGAAACCAAACCCAAGAAAGAAAAGUAAUGAAGCAGAGUGUUUUGAUCGAAUAUCCCAGCUGGUAUUUUCAGAGAUAUUCGUACUGAUAACGUGUUACAAAUCUAAAGGAAUUAUAGAGAGAAUUGAGGUAUAGAGAAAAUAUAGAAAUCUGAUAUUUUGUUGAAUUCUUUUUCUGUCCAUUACAAAGGAAGGUUGAACCUUUUUGUAGACAAAGCCCCUUCCAAUAUGUGGGCUCUACCUUGUCAUCUUACAACACCAUAUAAGUAUUUUCUUGUUUAAAAACCUGCAUUAAACAAAAGCCAGACUUCAUGGCUAGCUAUGUGAAUUUUGUGGUAUUGGAAGCCCUGGG
rnacentral:lncRNA from 1 species